UCGAGAAUUUUUCACAAUGGGCGAAAGCCUGAUGGAGCGACGCCGCGUGGGGGAUGAAUGGCUUCGGUCCGUAAACCCCUGUCAUUCGGGAGCAAUGCCUGCUAAAUAAUAUUUGGCAGGUUGAUAGUACUGGAAGAGGAAGGGACGGCUAACUCUGUGCCAGCAGCCGCGGUAAUACAGAGGUCCCAAGCGUUGUUCGGAUUCACUGGGCGUAAAGGGUGCGUAGGUGGUUUGGUAAGUCUGAUGUGAAAUCUCGGAGCCUAACUUCGAAACUGCAUCGGAUACUAUCAAGCUUGAGGUCUGGAGGGGAGACUGGAAUUCUCGGUGUAGCAGUGAAAUGCGUAGAUAUCGAGAGGAACGCCAAUGGCGAAGGCUAGUCUCUGGACAGAUCCUGACACUG
rnacentral:rRNA from 1 species